rnacentral:ribozyme from 1 species
GCCGUCCCAAUAUGCUACCUCUCCGUGGUGAGCAGCAGGCAACGGAAUUUUAUUCCGGCUAAAACACAU